rnacentral:rRNA from 1 species
UACGUAGGGAGCGAGCGUUGUCCGGAUUUAUUGGGCGUAAAGCGCGCGUAGGCGGUUUGAUAAGCCGGGUGUGAAACCUCCAGCUCAACUUGGAGCGGCCACUCGGAACUGUCAUGACUUGAGUCAGGUAGGGGAACACGGAAUUCCAAGGUGUAGCGGUGAAAUGCUUAGAUAUCUGGAGGAACACCAGUGGCGAAGGCGGUGUUCUGGGCCUGUACUGACGCUGAUGCGCGAAAGCGUGGGGAGCGAACAGG